ACAUCUUGGAACAGGCUGCCUGUGGUUCCUUUGUUUGAAACUGUAACGGACUUGAGAGGAGCUGGCUCAAUGAUCAGGAAAUUAUUAUCCAUUGAUUGGUACAGGGAGCACAUCAUCAAGAACCAUAAUGGGUAUCAAGAGGGCGUUUUACUGCUGCCUGGGAACUUUACAAAGCUCAAGAGGAUGUUAUAGCUGCAUGCAAUGAGUAUGAUAUCAAAGUUACCCUGUUUCAUGGGAGAGGAGGAAGUAUUGGUCGUGGAGGGGGCCCUACAUAUCUUGCCAUUCAGUCCCAGCCGCCUGGCUCUGUGAUGGGUACUCUAUGAUCAACUGAGCAAAAAGAAAUGGUACAGGCAAAUAUUUGGGCUGCCGGAGAUUGCUGUCAGACAGCUAGCUAGAGAUAUACACAACAGCUGUGCUGCUUGCAACGUUGCGUCCACCACACCCUUCUCGAGAACAAAAGUGGGGUAACCUCAUGGAGGAGAUCUCAAAGAUCAGUUGUCAGAAUUACAGGAGUGGUCUACGAAAAUCCAGAAUUCCUUACUUCCAGGAGGCUACACCCCGGGCUGAGCUUGUCUUCCUCAACAUAGGAAGCUGGCCCUCAAGAGGAAAGAGCUCUACUGGAAUUGGACAUUUUCGGGCAAUUCCAUGGGUGUUUGCAUGGACUCAAACCAGAUUUGUUCUUCCAGCUUGGCUUGGAGUUGAACCAGGUUUGAGGGGUUUGUGGGAAGGGACACACUGAAGACUUGAAAGCAGAACAUUAUGAGGUCCACCCAUUGAGUAUUGAAACCCAAUUUUAUCAUAAUCUUCUUCAGGAAAUCCCAUUCCAAUUUGUCAUAAGCCUCACUUAUAUCAAGUUUCAGAGCCAUAAAACCUUCUUGUCCUCUAGGCAGCCUGUGCAUAUAGUGAGCUAGCUCCGAAGCCACGAGAGUGCUGUCUGAAAUCAAACGAUCCGGGACAAACGCACUCUGCUGUGGGCAAAUAAUGUUCGAGAGAAAAACUUUAAGCCUGUUAGCUAGCACCUUGGAGGCUAUUUUAUAAGUAACAUUGCAGAGGGCUAUUGGUCGCAGUUGGAACAUGUGCUUAACCUCUUUCACCUUUGGGAUGAGCACCACAUGCGUAAACUUCAAAUCAUGAGGCAUCUCUUAAUUAAUCAGAAAGAAAAUCACUGCCCUACUCACCUCUGAACCAACUAAGUCCCAAUACUUCUGGAAGAAGAAAGGAAUUGUACUAAACCAUAUGAGUCUAUGGUCUGGUACACAGGUUAUGAGUAAAACAUGCAAGUUUUGUAUCUUGUGGAAUUAAGGUUACCGUAAGAAUUUAAC